UUUUGGACAAUGGGCGAAAGCCUGAUCCAGCCAUGCCGCGUGCAGGAUGAGGGCCUUCGGGUUGUAAACUGCUUUUGUACGGAACGAAAAGCCUCUUUCUAAUAAAGAGGGGUCAUGACGGUACCGUAAGAAUAAGCACCGGCUAACUACGUGCCAGCAGCCGCGGUAAUACGUAGGGUGCAAGCGUUAAUCGGAAUUACUGGGCGUAAAGCGGGCGCAGGCGGGUUUGUAAGACAGAGGUGAAAUCCCCGGGCUGAACCUGGGAACUGCCUUUGUGACUGCAAGGCUGGAGUGCGGCAGAGGGGGAUGGAAUUCCGCGUGUAGCAGUGAAAUGCGUAGGUAUGCGGAGGAACACGGAUGGCGAAGGCAAUCCCCUGGGCCUGCACUGACGCUCAUGCACGAAAGCGUGGGGAGCAAACAGGAU
rnacentral:rRNA from 1 species